CCCCCCCCCGCCGCAAGCAAGGGAGAGUCCGGAUAAAGCGUGGCCUCUGCAGAGCCCUCUUGGCUGGAGCCCGCUGGGCUCCAGGUCACCUGGACCCCGAGCAGACAGAGAAAAGCCCCAGCAGGGCCCGGGAACAGAAACACCCCACCACGUUUGAAAAGUGGAAAGGAAAAGGCCCACAGCAUCCCCGGAGAAGAAAGGGAAUAGUUUUUCUGCAUUUCUCCAGUUAUCCCCUCACCUAAGGUGGUGAGGCCCAUUCUAGUUCAAAGGAGAGGAAAUCCCCAUUUGGAAGUGAGAUCUCAGAGUUCUGGGUUUUACACAAUACUGGUUAGAUAGACAUCCACUGAGUUUUAAGGUUUUUUUUUAGGAGUUUCAUUUUUAAGGUCCACCUUGGUAAACCCCUGUGAGAAUCCCACCCUUGGCUCAGAGGUGUUGAGAACUGAGGCAGGGAGAAGCCACCCCUGAUUCUGACAACCAGGAGUCGCCCUGUGGAAAUGAGCCCGCCAGCCCCGUUGACAAACCACUUACCCCGAAAGGCACUUUUUAGUGGAGCCUUGGGUAAGGUUUUUUUUUUUCGUUGCAUUAUGAUUCUUCCAAGGAAAUGGGAAAGGGGGUGUUAAUCCUACCUCUUCCCUUGUAAUGGCUUUUGAAAAAAAUAGUAAAGUCUCUUUAAAUUUCGGGAGACCUCGCUGACACACAGGCUUCCUUAGAACCUUAGGAUGAGUGUUACCCAGAGACACCCCUGCCUCUGGGGCUGCAGAGCGAAGCCAGGGCCCCGCCGGCGGCUUCCACAUCCAAACUGCACUUUAACUGACUAAUCCUCCAUUCUCGAGGCCUUAGGGGACAGUGGGUCUGGGAACCCAUUGCAUCCUUACUGCCAAAGAACUCCCCAGAAGCACAUCAAAUCGCCAACGCCCCACCUGCACCGUGGGGGGUGGUGAGAAACUUUUGCAUCCCACAACAUGUACCUUUAUAUGAACAUCUGCGGCACCAUUUGGAAUGGUUUUAUUUUUAACCUCAGGAUUUAAAUAAAGCGAACGCUAUGACACGGGGAGUCACGUUGUCUUCCCUUCCACUUGGGACCUGAGGCGAGUGAUGAAGUCACCCGGACCGGACUGGGGGUGGAGUCGCCCUGCAGGGAGAUAGAGCUUCCGCUGGCACCCCUGGCUUUUCAGAUGGGCUCGAGCCACCAGAUGUUCCGAGAGGGUGGCCGUGCAGCCUGGCAUCUGGGUGCUCCCACCCCGUCUACCAUGAGGUGGGUGUCAGACCUGCUGGAGCCGAGGUAACCGGCCCCACUGCUCUCCAGAAGAGCAGAGAGCACAGAGCACAGGCAUGGUGGGGGGGAGGGGCAAAGUCACGGAUGCCCUAAAACCACGCCCAGUCGACCUUGAACAAAGCUGGGUAAGACCAAGCCAGCUGGUGGAGGAAGGAGUCCCGUUCAGCCUGACAGCGCCCACCCCUGCUGAAUCAGCAGGGACCUGCCACAGAGCCGGAAGGGGCGGGACCCCGACCCUCCUGGACCGGGAUCCCGGCCUGGCUCAGGGCCCGCGGGCUCCAGGACACUCGGAAGUGCCGCGUCUCUUCUGGCCGCGGUGCCCGGCGGGGCUGGAGGAUGUACGGGUUCCCCGGGGGACUCAAAAGGAAACUCACGGCAGGUCAGCCCUUUCAGUUUGAAGAUGCGUGGGAAAAAUCUGGCGAGAAGAGCUUGCCACCCACACAGAGUGGUGAAACCUGUCACCCAAGAGCUCCAGGAAGAAGCAGGAGUUUGGCGCUGAUGGAUGUGGGAUGGGGGAGGCGGAUCGGACAUGGGCUCCUCACCGGGCCAUACUCGGAAUUCAGAAGGUCCGGGAACCUGGACACGGAGGAAACGGCCUCUUUCCCCUGACUCCGAACUAAAAGUUAGAUCUUCCCUCCACGAUGAAGCUAAACAACGUGUCACACGAGUGUGUGUCAGCAAGCGCUGUGACCUCGUCGCCAGGGAAAUGACAGGUAUUUUCAUAUUUACAGACCCUCAACGCACCAUCUCCGCUCCGAAACGAAGGUUGUCAUUAGGCCGUCUGGUUGAUUCUACUUAAUGCAUUAAUAACAAUAAAAAAAAA